rnacentral:rRNA from 1 species
GGACCCGCACAAGCGGUGGAGCAUGUGGUUUAAUUCGAUGCAACGCGAAGAACCUUACCUGGCCUUGACAUCCAUGGAAUCCCGAAGAGAUUUGGGAGUGCCGCAAGGAACCAUGAGACAGGUGCUGCAUGGCUGUCGUCAGCUCGUGUCGUGAGAUGUUGGGUUAAGUCCCGCAACGAGCGCAACCCUUGUCCUUAGUUGCCAUCAUUCAGUUGGGAACUCUAAGGAGACCGCCGGUGACAAACCGGAGGAAGGUGGGGAUGACGUCAAGUCAUCAUGGCCUUUAUGGCCAGGGCUACACACGUGCUACAAUGGCAGGUACAGAGGGAAGCCAACCGGCGACGGGGAGCUAAUCCCAGAAAGCCUGUCUUAGUCCGGAUUGGAGUCUGCAACUCGACUCCAUGAAGUUGGAAUCGCUAGUAAUCGCAGAUCAGCAUUGCUGCGGUGAAUACGUUCCCGGGUCUU